rnacentral:lncRNA from 1 species
UUGUCUAUCAACAACUACAACGCUGAGCUUGUGAGGUUAGGGCAUCCACAAUGUAUCACUAAAGUGGGCAUUAUGCAAUAAAUGCAGCUCUAAGGACAGGCAAUAUACAUUGUGGAGGUAGUCCAUAUGGCAUUAAUUGCUAAAGCAGUCUUUAGCUAUAUGGGCUGGCCACAAGGAAAUAAAAUACAAUACUUUUUCAGUUCACUGUGUACAAAUGAAUAUAAAAUCUAAAGCAGUUGGUGCUGGUGCGUGAGCAGCCGAGCAGGUGUCCGUUGAAGUAGCCAUUGCUGCUGGGUGUUGGCUCUCCUUCUCCAUGCUCCUAUAAAACAGACCAACAAGAGAUUUCAGUUUGUAUCUCUUCAUUUCAUCAGGAGAUGGAUUCAUCCAACCAAAAAUUCAUAGAUCUUCUCAGUCAAGACUCUCCAAACCAUGCAGAAAAGCCUAGCCACAACUCCCCUCCCCAACAAUUCCCCAAUAAUUUUCCCCAAUCUCAGUUUACCCAAAGCUUCAACCCACAUUUUUUACACAAUUUCUAUCCAUUUCAUUCCCCAAGCAACUAUCCACCAUAUGGUCAUUCUCCUCCCAGCUUUCAAGGUACUCCUCCAAGCUUUCAAGGUAUUCCACAUCAAGGAAAUUGGGCACAACCUAAUUUAGCCAGCUUACAAGGUUUCCAUUUGCAAGAAAAUAUGGUGCACUCACCAAAUCAGGGGUUUGGAACUGCAAACCACCAAGCAAUAUUUGCACUGCAACACCCCUCAGUUAGAGCCACUCCCAACAGUUCUUUCCAUGGGUCGGAGUCAUCGACUCCCUGCCCUGCAAGACAACAAGAAGCGCCAGUUAAUCUCGAGUCGUCAAGUGAAAGCAGCGAAGACAGAGGUGAGGAGAGCAACACGCACCAAUUGGACAGAAGAGGAGAACUUACGGUUAAUUAGUGCUUGGUUGAGCAACUCGGUUGAUCCUACAGAUGGAAAUGACAAAAAGGGAGAGUAUUAUUGGAAGGAUGUGGCUGAUGAGUUCAAUAACAACCGUCCUACAAAUGGCCACAAGAGGACAGUCAAGCAAUUGAAGACACACUGGGGAAAUGUUAAGAAGGACAUUGGGAAGUUUUGUGGAGUUUAUGCUCAAGUUAGACGUACCUGUACCAGUGGACACUCUGAUGACAUGAUCAUGGAAAAAGCUCAUCUAUGGUACAAGAAUCAAUCAAAUCAGAAGAAGCCUUUCACCUUAGAGUAUAUGUGGAGAGAGCUCAAGGAUCAACCAAAAUGGCGAAGUAUUAUCAAAAAGGAAGAAAACAAGAACAAGAGGACUAAGAUUUCUGAGUCAGGAGCUUACACAUCCUCAUCAAACCAAGAGACUGAAGAAGAAUCAUCAAACAAAGAGAGACACCCCGAGGGACAGAAGAAAGCAAAAGAGAGAUUAAAAGGAAAAGGAAAAGGAAAAGCUCAAUCUUCUCCGUUGGGGAACCAGCCAUCUCAGAACAUAGUUUUGUACAACGAAGCUAUGAAAAUUAAAGCUGAAGCAUUAUUGAAAUCAGCAGAGGCAACAGCAAAAUCAGCAGAGGCAAAACGGGAACAAAUAAGGAUGGAAAAGUGGCAGGCAUACAUUAAACUGGAAGAAAAAGAUACCUCUAAUUUUAGUGGAGAAGCUGAGAAGGCAUGAAGCUAUGUUGAACAAAUUAUCUAAAGAACUAGCUGAGGAAUAAAGGAGAAGCAUGUUAUUGUUCCACUGUAGUGCUUAGUGUAUGAUAAGUUUAGUUGUCAAAUUUGGUGUAUUGCUGAUGUACUUGUCAUUUUCAGAAUUUAGCUCUAGUACUAAUGUAAAAGCUUAGUGUACGAUUAAUUUAGUUGGCAAAUUUUUGUGUAUUGUUGAUGUACUUGUCAAUUUCAGAAUUUAGCUCUAGUACUAAUGUAAAAGCUUUUACUAUAUCCCCACUUGUAUUAUGCAAGAAAUCACAUUUUUUACCGCACAUCUCUGCUCUUAAUAUUAUUUUUCAUUCAUGAGUCAUGAUAAUCUUCAUGAAUACAUUGCAGUACAGAAAAACCCAUACUUACAAGAUGUAGGGAUAAUUUUCUUCGCAAUUCAGUUAUUACUCCAUACCUGCACAUAUAACCAUAAUAAGAAAUAUAGAUGAUAAGCAAAACAUAGCUGUUGGAAUAGUGCCAAAAGGAAGAAAUAGUUGUCACAAACUAGCUGUUGGAAUGCUGCCAAAAGUAAAAAAUAGCUGUUGCAAACUAGCUGUUGGAAUGCUGCCAAAAGUAAAAUAUAGCUGUUGCAAACAAGCUGUUGGAAAUGUAUCCUACAUAUAAGAGAUGAAG